UACAGAGGUCUCAAGCGUUGUUCGGAUUCAUUGGGCGUAAAGGGUGCGUAGGCGGCGCGGUAAGUCGGGUGUGAAAAUCUCGGAGCUUAACUCCGAAACUGCAUUCGAUACUGCCGUGCUUGAGGACUGGAGAGGAGACUGGAAUUUACGGUGUAGCGGUGAAAAUGCGUAGAUAUCGGAAGGAACAUCAGUGGCGAAAAGCGGCUUCCUGGACCCAGUUACCCGACGUCAGGCACGAAAAGCCGUGGGGGAGCAAAACAGGG
rnacentral:rRNA from 1 species